UACGGGGGGAGCAAGCGUUGUUCGGAUUUACUGGGCGUAAAGGGCGCGUAGGCGGUCGUGACAAGUCACUUGUGAAAUCUCCGGGCUUAACUCGGAACGGUCAAGUGAUACUGUCGGACUAGAGUACAGAAGGGGCAACUGGAAUUCUCGGUGUAGCGGUGAAAUGCGUAGAUAUCGAGAGGAACACCUGCGGCGAAGGCGGUCUUCUGGACGGUGACUGACGCUGAGGCGCGAAAGCGUGGGGAGCAAACGGG
rnacentral:rRNA from 1 species